AUGAAGGCAGGCAGGGUGGAACAGAUUGACCAGCCCAGCUUCCUGGAGGGGAUAAAUCCUUCAGGACAAAUCCUCUGGUGGGAAGCAGAGAAGAGCCAGAAAAACCCUGUGACCCUGCCUGCAAUCGUGGAGCCAACAAGUGGUCAAGCUGAGGUCAAGGGGCCAAAGUGGGGCCAAAAAGGAUGCUUUCUGCCAGGCCCAUCUGCUGGCAAACAGACAGCAAUCACCCCAAAGGUGCAGCGCGGAUCAAGCUCCAGGACUCAAAUGUUUCUUCCCCCAGACAGUAGCAAUUAUCAUAAUCAAGCAGUUGACUCCAAUUACGCCUUCCUCUCAUUACAGCCGAGGGGAUGGACACAGCCACGGCAGCAAAGGGAAAGUUCGCAGCCGUGUCGCCUUUGCAUAUCUUAAUCUAAAAUGACAGGGUGUGACACGGGGGGCCGGUGACCCUGCCAGCCUUCAGCUGUUCGUGUGGCAACAAUUUCCAGCACCAAAUUACUCCCAGGCAGGGCUUGAUUGGAGGUUCAAGGCAGCAGGAGAGAGAAGCCAUUUAGGGGACUGAAACAUUCUUCACAGCCCUAUUUAAAUACAAUUUACAUUCCAGGCUCUGCUGUUUGUGCAUUGUUAAUUGCAUCUUGUACCUUAGUUUAUUUUAUAGUUGAAAGGUUUUUUUCUUUGCUGUUGUUUUUCAAAGGCAUGCUCUCCUUCCUUAUUUAUUUUUUUCCUAAGGGGCUGUUGUUCUCAGAAUAUAGUUAUAUUUCCUGGAAGGGAAAAUAGAUUAGUAGAUUUAAAGGCCAGAAGAGACAAACAGAUCAUCUAGAUGACCUCCUGGAGAAGACAGGCCAGGACAUUUUACUUGGUAAUUCCUGUGUCUCGGUUUGUCCAGACUUAACCCAAUGCCCUGUGUUGGGUAAAAUGCCCCUUCCAGAAAGGCAGCCUCGAUCCCAAACCCAUGAGGUUUUGGGGCGCCUCGCUGGCUCCCAGGGUGGCUGGUUCCAGCGCUGGGAGAAGUCACGGGUGGGGACCCAAAUAAACACCUUCUGGAUCCUGCA
rnacentral:lncRNA from 1 species